rnacentral:rRNA from 1 species
GGCUGUCGUCAGCUCGUGGCGUGAGAUGUUGGGUUAAGUCCCGCAACGAGCGCAACCCUCAUCCUUAGUUGCCAUCACGUUUGGGUGGGCACUCUAGGGAAACUGCCGGUGCUAAGCCGGAGGAAGGCGGGGAUGACGUCAAGUCCUCAUGGCCCUUACGCGUAGGGCUACACACGUGCUACAAUGGCAGUGACAAUGGGUUAAUCCCCAAAAGCUGUCUCAGUUCGGAUUGUCGGCUGCAACUCGCCGGCAUGAAGUUGGAAUCGCUAGUAAUCGUGGAUCAGCAUGCCACGGUGAAUACGUUCCCGGGCCUUGUACACACCGCCCGUCA